AAAUAAAGUAUCCUUUAGCUUUAAAUUUCUCACCUAAGCUCCUUGAUAUAUAUACUUACAAGGUAAGCCUAUGCAAUGCAAGACUACAUGGACAGGUGUCACGAGGUAAACUAAUGUGCCAGCUACCGCGGUUAUACAUUGAUUUCCUAAUUUCUAUCUUGUUAUUUUUGAACCUUUUAACAGUUUAUUACUCAUUUGUCUAGUGAAAUCGUAUUCCAUUUGUAAAUAAAAGCUUUUAGUUCAAUAAAAUAAAUUUAAUAAUAAAACUAGGAUUAGAUACCCUAUUAUUCUAAAUUUUAAAUAUUAAGAAGUAAAAUAAAUCUCAAACUUAAUCAGGACGACGGUAGAAUUUUAUUAGAGGAGGUUGUUCUUUAAUCGAUAAUCCUCGCUCGUUUCUUUUUCUUUAUUAUGUAUAUCGCCGUUGAAGCUCAACUUAAGAUUGAGUUAACUUAUUUAUAACUAUAGGUCAACAGGUCUAGAUACAAAUAAUGUAAAAGUAUGAAAUGACCUACAAAAUACAAAUAAUCUUAGUGGUAUCCAGUAUAAUGCUAGGUACCAAAGGAUUUAAAAGUAAUAUUAAUUAAUUCCAAUAGUAUAAUGAAUUACACUAAUUCUAUGUACAUAUCGCCCGUCACCCUCCUUGGAGGUAAGUCGUAACAAAGUAGAUCCUUCGGAAGAAGGAUCUAGCCA
rnacentral:ncRNA from 1 species